UCUUUUGACCUUAUUCUCCACGUACGAGUGGGAAUCUUCACUGAAGCUAAGCAGAGCUGUGCCCGGUCAGUACCUGGAUGGGAGACCACAUUGGAAAAGCUAGGUUGCUGCCGGAA
rnacentral:rRNA from 1 species